rnacentral:rRNA from 1 species
CCUACGUGAGGCAGCAGUGAGGAAUAUUGGUCAAUGGGCGCGAGCCUGAACCAGCCAAGUAGCGUGAAGGAUGACUGCCCUACGGGUUGUAAACUUCUUUUAUAAAGGAAUAAAGUGAGGCACGUGUGCCUUUUUGUAUGUAUUUUAUGAAUAAGGAUCGGCUAACUCUGUGCCAGCAGCCGCGGUAAUACGGAGGAUUCGAGCGUUAUCCGGAUUUAUUGGGUUUAAAGGGAGCGUAGGUGGGUUGGUAAGUCAGUUGUGAAAGUUUGCGGCUCAACCGUGAAAUUGCAAUUGAUACUGGCGGCCUUGAGUACAGUUGGGGUAGGCGGAAUUCGUGGUGUAGCGGUGAAAUGCUUAGAUAUCACGAAGAACUCCGAUUGCGAAGGCAGCCUACUAAACUGCCACUGACAUUGAUGCUCGAAAGUGUGGGUAUCAAACAGGAUUAGAUACCCGGGUAGUC